rnacentral:rRNA from 1 species
AUUGAACGCUGGCGGCAGGCUUAACACAUGCAAGUCGGGCGGAGAGAGGUAGCUUGCUACUGAUCUUAGCGGCGGACGGGUGAGUAAUGCUUAGGAAUCUGCCUAUUAGUGGGGGACAACAUUUCGAAAGGAAUGCUAAUACCGCAUACGUCCUACGGGAGAAAGCAGGGGAUCUUCGGACCUUGCGCUAAUAGAUGAGCCUAAGUCGGAUUAGCUAGUUGGUGGGGUAAAGGCCUACCAAGGCGACGAUCUGUAGCGGGUCUGAGAGGAUGAUCCGCCACACUGGGACUGAGACACGGCCCAGACUCCUACGGGAGGCAGCAGUGGGGAAUAUUGGACAAUGGGCGCAAGCCUGAUCCAGCCAUGCCGCGUGUGUGAAGAAGGCCUUCGGGUUGUAAAGCACUUUCAGUAGGGAGGAAGCGUUGUGUGUUAAUAGUACACAGCGUUGACGUUACCUACAGAAGAAGCACCGGCUAACUCUGUGCCAGCAGCCGCGGUAACAC